AAGUCGUAACAAGGUUUCCGUAGGUGAACCUGCGGAAGGAUCAUUUAACACGUAUCCAACGUUAAAACAACCCCCGUGAACUUUCAGCUUGCCUGUAGCCCGUGAAAACAGCAAUCCCUGGUAAAUCAUUGUUGACCAGCUUUUGAGUCAGGGACCUCUGCCGAUUGUGAUAUUUUAUAGCUACGGUUGUGGCAUCCCCAAGUAAUCAGUGUCUGAAAGUGUCAUUGAUUAUGUAAGGAUGGCGCAGUCACGAUCGCUGUAGGCCCACACGGCUGGCGACCGGGUCACCGGGCUCUGCCCCUUUACGACAACACAGUACGAAUUGGCCGCGCGUGAAAUUCGCACGGCACCAAAAACCGAACAACUGUUAACAAUGGAUAUCUUGGUUCUC
rnacentral:misc_RNA from 1 species